GACGAACGCUGGCGGCGUGCUUAACACAUGCAAGUCGAACGGAAAGGCCCUGCUUUUGUGGGGUGCUCGAGUGGCGAACGGGUGAGUAACACGUGAGUAACCUGCCCUUGACUUUGGGAUAACUUCAGGAAACUGGGGCUAAUACCGCAUAGGAGCUCCUGCUGCAUGGUGGGGGUUGGAAAGUUUCGGCGGUUGGGGAUGGACUCGCGGCUUAUCAGCUUGUUGGUGGGGUAGUGGCUUACCAAGGCUUUGACGGGUAGCCGGCCUGAGAGGGUGACCGGCCACAAUGGGACUGAGAUACGCCCCAGACUCCAACGGGAGGCAGCAGUGGGGAAUAUUGCACAAUGGGCGGGAGCCUGAUGCAGCAACGCCGCGUGCGGGAUGACGGCCUUCGGGUUGUAAACCGCUUUCGCCUGUGACGAAGCGUGAGUGACGGUAAUGGGUAAAGAAGCACCGGCUAACUACGUG
rnacentral:rRNA from 1 species